CAGGCUUAACACAUGCAAGUCGAGGGGCAGCAUUUCAGUUUGCUUGCAAACUGGAGAUGGCGACCGGCGCACGGGUGAGUAACACGUAUCCAACCUGCCGAUAACUCGGGGAUAGCCUUUCGAAAGAAAGAUUAAUACCCGAUGGCAUAAUUAGACCGCAUGGUCUUAUUAUUAAAGAAUUUCGGUUAUCGAUGGGGAUGCGUUCCAUUAGGCAGUUGGUGAGGUAACGGCUCACCAAACCUUCGAUGGAUAGGGGUUCUGAGAGGAAGGUCCCCCACAUUGGAACUGAGACACGGUCCAAACUCCUACGGGAGGCAGCAGUGAGGAAUAUUGGUCAAUGGACGAGAGUCUGAACCAGCCAAGUAGCGUGAAGGAUGACUGCCCUAUGGGUUGUAAACUUCUUUUAUAUGGGAAUAAAGUUUUCCACGUGUGGAAUUUUGUAUGUACCAUAUGAAUAAGGAUCGGCUAACUCCGUGCCAGCAGCCGCGGUAAUACGGAGGAUCCGAGCGUUAUCCGGAUUUAUUGGGUUUAAAGGGAGCGUAGGUGGACAGUUAAGUCAGUUGUGAAAGUUUGCGGCUCAACCGUAAAAUUGCAGUUGAUACUGGCUGUCUUGAGUACAGUAGAGGUGGGCGGAAUUCGUGGUGUAGCGGUGAAAUGCUUAGAUAUCACGAAGAACUCCGAUUGCGAAGGCAGCUCACUGGACUGCAACUGACACUGAUGCUCGAAAGUGUGGGUAUCAAACAGGAUUAGAUACCCUGGUAGUCCACACAGUAAACGAUGAAUACUCGCUGUUUGCGAUAUACAGUAAGCGGCCAAGCGAAAGCAUUAAGUAUUCCACCUGGGGAGUACGCCGGCAACGGUGAAACUCAAAGGGAAUUGACGGGGGCCCGCACAAGCGGAGGAACAUGUGGCUUAAUUCGAUGAUACGCGAGGACCCUUACCCGGGCUUAAAUUGCAUUUGAAUAAUCUGGAAACAGGUUAGCCGCAAGGCAAAUGUGAAGGUGCUGCAUGGUUGUCGUCAGCUCGUGCCGUGAGGUGUCGGCUUAAGUGCCAUAACGAGCGCAACCCUUAUCUUUAGUUACUAACAGGUCAUGCUGAGGACUCUAGAGAGACUGCCGUCGUAAGAUGUGAGGAAGGUGGGGAUGACGUCAAAUCAGCACGGCCCUUACGUCCGGGGCCACACACGUGUUACAAUGGGGGGUACAGAAGGCAGCUACCUGGUGACAGGAUGCUAAUCCCAAAAGCCUCUCUCAGUUCGGAUCGAAGUCUGCAACCCGACUUCGUGAAGCUGGAUUCGCUAGUAAUCGCGCAUCAGCCAUGGCGCGGUGAAUACGUUCCCGGGCCUUGUACACACCGCCCGUCAAGCCAUGAAAGCCGGGGGUACCUGAAGUGCGUAACCGCAAGGAGCGUCCUAGGGUAAAACUGGUAA
rnacentral:rRNA from 1 species